rnacentral:rRNA from 1 species
UGGGGAAUAUUGCACAAUGGGGGAAACCCUGAUGCAGCGACGCCGCGUGAGCGAUGAAGGCUUUCGAGUCGUAAAGCUCUGUCCUAUGGGAAGAUAAUGACGGUAUCAUAGGAGGAAGCCCUGGCUAAAUACGUGCCAGCAGCCGCGGUAAUACGUAUGGGGCGAGCGUUGUCCGGAAUUAUUGGGCGUAAAGGGUACGUAGGUGGUUUUUUAAGUCAGGUGUCAAAGCGUGGAGCUUAACUCCAUUAAGCACUUGAAACUGAAAGACUUGAGUGAAGGAGAGGAAAGUGGAAUUCCUAGUGUAGCGGUGAAAUGCGUAGAUAUUAGGAGGAAUACCGGUGGCGAAGGCGACUUUCUGGACUUUUACUGACGCUCAGGUACGAAAGCGUGGGGAGCAAACAGG